AGCAGAUGAGAUCCAACUACAACUGUUUUGUUGGAUGAAGCACAGGUUUCAGAUCCUCUCAUCAUAGCUAGUUCUGUGAAAAGGUUUAAUAAUUUGCUCAAUGUUAUCUUGUUUAAAUGUGUUGGAAUUCUAGAAGAGUUGUGAGAUGAAGAUAAGGAACUCUUUCCAGUUGAAUGUAUCAUAGAGAUGAAGAAAGGAUCCAUCUUCUCUUAAUGUCAAACAUAGCAUUGGUUGCGCCUUAUGAGCCAUUAUACUUGAAAAUUUGUGUAAAAAUUAAAAGCUCUUAUUCUUAGCUGCUGUUUCUGUUUUCUUCUUUCAAAUCUCACUUUGCAUUUUGUGGUCCCAUUCCCAUCUUGUAGAUCUAGGUAUGAUUCCUGCCUGGUAUCAAGGACAUAUCUUUACCCAUUUUGUUCCUCUGUUUUUUAUUUCUUAAUUUUGUAAGCGUUUGUUACACUUUGGAUAGUAUUGAUAAACAACUAUGAAGUCUAGUUGAUUUGUAUGUA